rnacentral:tRNA from 2 species
UCCGGGGUCGUUCAAUGGUAGGACGGCGGAUUUUGAUUCCGCGAAUAGGGGUUCGAGCCCUCUCCCCGGAGCCA